GCCCGGGAUGUCCGGUCGCCCCCGGAGCCGGUGCUUCCGGGCUAUCUCGGGCGUCCCCGGCGCGCCCCGACGUGCCGCGGACCUAUAAUUAAGUGGGAGUCAUGACUAAUAUCUACUGGGCCCCUCGGUCCCUGAGUGACCCCUGGGAGUGGAGAGCUGCCCCACUUCCAAUUUGACAGAUGCCAGGAAGUCAAGCAUUUGCCCACAGCCGCAGAACGCUGUCUGAGGCGGUCGCUCCUGGGCCGUGGCUGCUCUGGACGAGCUCUCCCGGUGCUCCAGAGGGGCCCCUCAGGCCGGCUUGUCCUGCACUUCUCAGACAGGCAUGAAGAAUGAUGUGGCCACCUGGCAGUGAAGCAAUGAAGUUUUGAAUAGCAUAUGAGACCGCAAUCGUUUUGUGGCUAUUUUGUGAAUAAAGACCUACGGGAAGGGGCACUGGGGAGGCUUCAGGAACUGAGGCCAGAUCUGGACUGUCCAGGACAGGAGCCACUAGCCACGCAAGGCCAUUGGGCAUUUGAAACAUGGCCGGUCUGAGCUGUGAUGUGCUGUUGUUCGUGUAAAACACACACAGCCUCCAGGACUUGGUAUGAAAGUGACGAGUGUAAAAUUUCUUGUUAAUAAUUUUUAC